GACGAACGCUGGCGGCGUGCCUAACACAUGCAAGUCGAGCGGGAACCUCAGGAGGGGUAACCCUUCUGAGGGGAGAGCGGCGAACGGGUGAGUAACACGUGGGCAACCUGCCCCGGACACCGGGAUAACCCAGGGAAACCUGAGCUAAUACCGGAUACUCCGGCGCGAUCGCAUGGUCGUGCCGGGAAAGCUCCGACGGUCCGGGAUGGGCCCGCGGCCUAUCAGCUAGUUGGCGGUGUAACGGACCACCAAGGCGACGACGGGUAGCUGGUCUGAGAGGAUGGCCAGCCACAUUGGGACUGAGAGACGGCCCAGACUCCUACGGGAGGCAGCAGUGGGGAAUCUUGCGCAAUGGCCGAAAGGCUGACGCAGCGACGCCGCGUGUGGGAUGAAGCAUUUCGGUGUGUAAACCACUGUUGCCCGGGACGAACACACUCUUUCGAGAGUGCUGACGGUACCGGGUGAGGAAGCACCGGCUAACUCCGUGCCAGCAGCCGCCG
rnacentral:rRNA from 1 species